UGGGGAAUUUUGGACAAUGGGCGAAAGCCUGAUCCAGCAAUGCCGCGUGUGUGAAGAAGGCCUUCGGGUUGUAAAGCACUUUUGUCCGGAAAGAAAUCCUUGGCUCUAAUACAGUCGGGGGAUGACGGUACCGGAAGAAUAAGCACCGGCUAACUACGUGCCAGCAGCCGCGGUAAUACGUAGGGUGCAAGCGUUAAUCGGAAUUACUGGGCGUAAAGCGUGCGCAGGCGGUUUGCUAAGACCGAUGUGAAAUCCCCGGGCUCAACCUGGGAACUGCAUUGGUGACUGGCAGGCUAGAGUAUGGCAGAGGGGGGUAGAAUUCCACGUGUAGCAGUGAAAUGCGUAGAGAUGUGGAGGAAUACCGAUGGCGAAGGCAGCCCCCUGGGCCAAAUACUGACGCUCAUGCACGAAAGCGUGGGGGAGCAAAACAGGAUUAGAUACCCUGGUAGUCCACGCCCUAAAACGAUGUCAACUAGUUGUUGGGGAUUCAUUUCCUUAGUAACGUAGCUAACGCGUGAAGUUGACCGCCUGGGGAGUACGGUCGCAAGAUUAAAACUCAAAGGAAUUGACGGGGUCAUAGCUG
rnacentral:rRNA from 1 species